GGAGCUGUGGACUAAUUGGUUAGGCUGUCUGCCUUGGAAUGAAGAAGAUGCGAGUUCACAUCCCGCCAGCGGCC